AGUUUUCGCACAGCAAAAUGUCUUAGAUAUAUACCCGUGAAUGACCAGUGCUAAGUCCUGCAGUCUGAUGUGUUGUUUGUGCACUUAGAUUCUCUUCUCCUGAUUAUGUGCAGCUAGUAAAGCCUCUAACUUCAGAAGAGUUCCAGGAGAAACUUUGUUUAUGGCCUCUCGGGUAGCUUUGCAUAAAUUCUCAGGUCAACCCAAAACCGCAAUUUAUGACAUGGCUAUUUUGAGAAGGCGUCAUCCAGCAAAAAGCAAAAGAGGUCAAAUAACAUAACAAUGCGUAUUGCUCAUAAGACCUUUUUUUUAAAAAAACAAAAAAAAGUGUAUGGUGUGUUGAAAAAGCUGAUAACACAUGUUGCCCAUCAAAAGCCUUAAGAUCUGCUGUGUGGGCCCGUCGCAUUAAAGGGUUAUCACACUCCAAGAACUUAUCAUGCAAUAAAUUGCAGACAUAAUAAUACAAAUUGCAGACAUAAUAAUACACAUUUUUAUGUGACCCUUUUCUCCCAAAGGGGAGCUUUAAAGCACUUAGCGCGCUCUCUUGGAUUUAAGAGUUGGCGGCAGAUUAUGAUUAUUAAUUAGAGAGGUUUAGUUAGAUUGACCAGACACAGCACGAGCAAGGACUAAUUAAGGAAUUGCUACAGAAGGUAGGGCUUGUUCCCCAGUUCAGAGAUAUUUAAGGAUUAUCUGAGGACCAUUACCUGUUUUUUCUGUGACAUCAGCCAAGUGGCAUGGAUUAGAAUAGCAGAGAUUUUGCCAGAUACCUUAAGUCUUGUUGUUUCCAUUGCAAGUAGUUCUUUUUCUGGUGCUAUAUUUUUUUAAAGGGUAAUUGGACAGGAAAACCAGAGCAGGAUUAAAGAUAAGGUGACCCUAGUUGGCCACUGAGAGCCUAGCGGUUUUACAGGGGCCCUGGAACCUGGAAUUUUCUUGGCCUCAUUCACCACACCUAUGUGAAGAAUGAAGGGGGUCAAAUCGGUACCCUGCCCAGGGCGCUGUGGAACCCUAACCCUUCUCUGAGCAGAACAGAUUGUAGAGAUGUGUUUUAGCGGAUUGCUUGCUUUCAUCUUUCUUGAAAGCAUCCUGUAAUAUUUGAUUUUCAGGGAAAUGCUCAAGUAUAGAGCCUUUGGAAGUUGUGUAUAAAGAGCAGUUCUGAGAAAGUGGAGCAUUCACCAUGGAAACCAAUCGAAUGUUCCUUUUGAUUGGUCCACAUUUAGAAGUUUGCAUCGUAAUUCUG